AACGUAGGGUGCAAGCGUUGUCCGGAAUUACUGGGUGUAAAGGGAGCGCAGGCGGAAAGAUAAGUUGAAUGUGAAAACUAUGGGCUCAACCCAUAACGGUCGUUCAAAACUAUUUUUCUUGAGUGAAGUAGAGGCAAGUGGAAUUCCCGGUGUAGCGGUGGAAUGCGUAGAUAUUGGGAGGAACACCAGUGGCGAAGGCGGCUUGCUGGGCUUUAACUGACGCUGAGGCUCGAAAGCAUGGGUAGCAAACAGG
rnacentral:rRNA from 1 species